UGGGUGUCAGUGAUGGGAAGAUUCUAGACCA
rnacentral:piRNA from 1 species